rnacentral:rRNA from 1 species
GACGAACUGUGCGAACGUUAUUCGGAAUUACUGGGCGUAAAGGGCGCGUAGGCGGUCCUGUCAGUCCCUUGUGAAAUCCCCCGGCUCAACUGGGGAACUGCAAGGGAUACAGCAGGGCUUGAGUUCGGGAGAGGGAAGCGGAAUUCCGGGUGUAGCGGUGAAAUGCGUAGAUAUCCGGAGGAACACCGGUGGCGAAGGCGGCUUCCUGGACCGAUACUGACGCUGAGGCGCGAAAGCUAGGGGAGCAAACGGG